rnacentral:rRNA from 1 species
GAUGAACGCUGGCGGCGUGCCUAAUACAUGCAAGUCGAGCGAACAGACGAGGAGCUUGCUCCUCUGACGUUAGCGGCGGACGGGUGAGUAACACGUGGUUAACCUACCUAUAAGACUGGGAUAACUUCGGGAAACCGGAGCUAAUACCGGAUAAUAUAUUUAACCGCAUGGUUCAAUAGUGAAAGACGGUUUUGCUGUCACUUAUAGAUGGAUCCGCGCCGCAUUAGCUAGUUGGUAAGGUAACGGCUUACCAAGGCAACGAUGCGUAGCCGACCUGAGAGGGUGAUCGGCCACACUGGAACUGAGACACGGUCCAGACUCCUACGGGAGGCAGCAGUAGGGAAUCUUCCGCAAUGGGCGAAAGCCUGACGGAGCAACGCCGCGUGAGUGAUGAAGGUCUUCGGAUCGUAAAACUCUGUUAUUAGGGAAGAACAAAUGUGUAAGUAACUAUGCACGUCUUGACGGUACCUAAUCAGAAAGCCACGGCUAACUACGUG